rnacentral:rRNA from 1 species
UACGGAGGGGGCGAGCGUUGUCCGAAGUUACUGGGCGUAAAGCGCGCGUAGGCGGCCCCGUAAGUCCGCUGUGAAAGUCAAAGGCUCAACCUUUGAAAGCCGGUGGAUACUGUGGGGCUAGAGUCCGGAAGAGGCGAGUGGAAUUCCUGGUGUAGCGGUGAAAUGCGCAGAUAUCAGGAGGAACACCGGUGGCGAAGGCGGGUCUCUGGGCCGUAACUGACGCUGAGGAGCGAAAGCAUGGGGAGCGAACAGG